rnacentral:lncRNA from 1 species
GGGUAGGUCAUGGAGGUGCCAUCCUUCUCAUUGGUGAUGGUCAUUGAUUGACAUUGAUUGGAGCUAUUGAUAGAAUGAAAUAGUUUAAAGGCUCUUAGAUAUGGAAUAAAACAUGUUUUCCAUACAAGAUAAUUGGAUCCUUUUAACCUAACACCAACAGCGAGAAGAUUGGAGGAAGAACAGCUAAUCUGCUGAAAGGAGAUGGGUGAAAGGAUGGCCAUGGGAUCACCAAGGAGAGUACAAGCAAAGAAAAAAAAGAAGACUGAACAGCAACAUAGAAGAGAGGCUUAGAGA